rnacentral:rRNA from 1 species
GAUGAACGCUAGCGGCAGGCUUAACACAUGCAAGUCGAGGGGUAGAGGUUGCUUGCAACCUUGAGACCGGCGCACGGGUGCGUAACGCGUAUGCAACCUACCUUUUACAGAGGGAUAGCCCAGAGAAAUUUGGAUUAAUACCUCAUAGUAUAUAACCUUCGCAUGUUGGUUAUAUUAAAGUUCCAACGGUAAAAGAUGGGCAUGCGUCCUAUUAGCUAGAUGGUAAGGUAACGGCUUACCAUGGCAACGAUAGGUAGGGGUCCUGAGAGGGAGAUCCCCCACACUGGUACUGAGACACGGACCAGACGCCUACGGGAGGCAGCAGUGAGGAAUAUUGGACAAUGGGCGCAAGCCUGAUCCAGCCAUGCCGCGUGCAGGAAGAAGCAUCUAUGGUGUGUGAACUGCUUUUGUACGGGAAGAAACACCCCGACGUGUCGGGGCUUGACGGUACUGUAAGAAUAAGGAUCGGCUAACUCCGUGCCAGCCGCCGCGGUAA